CCUACGGGCGGCAGCAGUGGGGAAUAUUGCACAAUGGGCGAAACCCUGAUGCAGCGACGCCGCGUGAGUGAAGAAUCGUUUCGGCGCGUAAAGCUCUGUCAGCGGGGAAGAAACACGGUUCGCGAGAGCCUCUGACGGUACCCUUCCAAGAAGCCCCGGCUAACUACGUGCCAGCAGCCGCGGUAAUACGUAGGGGGCAAGCGUUAUCCGGAUUCACUGGGUGUAAAGGGAGCGUAGACGGGGAGAUAAGUCUGGAGUGAAAGGCGGGGGACCAACCCCGGGACUGCUAUGGAAACUGGCUGGCUGGAGUACAGGAGAGGUAAGUGGAAUUCCUAGUGUAGCGGUGAAAUGCGUAGAUAUUAGGAGGAACACCAGUGGCGAAGGCGGCUUACUGAACUGUAACUGACGUUGAGGCUCGAAAGCGUGGGGAGCAAACAGGAUUAGAUACCCGAGUAGUC
rnacentral:rRNA from 1 species